ensembl:snRNA U6 U6 spliceosomal RNA
GUGUUCAUUUCGGUAGCACAUAUACUAAAAAUUAGAAUGAUACAGAGAAGAUUGCAUGGCCCCUGUGCAAGGAUGACAUGCAAAUUCAUGAAGUGCUCCAUAUUUUU